rnacentral:rRNA from 1 species
GACGAACGCUGGCGGCGUGCUUAACACAUGCAAGUCGAGCGAAUGAAGCUCCUUCGGGAACGGAUCUAGCGGCGGACGGGUGAGUAACACGUGGGCAACCUGCCUCAUAGAGGGGAAUAGCCCUCCGAAAGGGAGAUUAAUACCGCAUAAGAUUGUAGUACCGCAUGGUACAGCAAUUAAAGGAGCAAUCCGCUAUGAGAUGGGCCGGCGGCGCCUUAGCUAGUUGGUGAGGUAACGGCUCACCAAGGCGACGAGGCGUAGCCGACCGGAGAGGGUGAUCGGCCACGUUGGGACUGCGACCCGGCCCCGUCUCCUACGGGGGGCAGCAGUGGGGAAUAUUGCCCAAUGGGGGAUACCCUGAUGCAGCCGCGCCGCGUGAGUGGUGACGGCCUUCGGGUUGUAAAGCUCUGUCUUCAGGGACGAUAAUGACGGUACCUGGGGAGGAAGCCACGGCUAACUACGUG